rnacentral:rRNA from 1 species
AUUGAACGCUGGCGGCAGGCCUAACACAUGCAAGUCGAGCGGAGGAAGGGAGCUUGCUCCUGGAUUCAGCGGCGGACGGGUGAGUAAUGCCUAGGAAUCUGCCUGGUAGUGGGGGAUAACGUCCGGAAACGGGCGCUAAUACCGCAUACGUCCUGAGGGAGAAAGUGGGGGAUCUUCGGACCUCACGCUAUCAGAUGAGCCUAGGUCGGAUUAGCUAGUUGGUGGGGUAAAGGCCUACCAAGGCGACGAUCCGUAACUGGUCUGAGAGGAUGAUCAGUCACACUGGAACUGAGACACGGUCCAGCCUCCUACGGGAGGCAGCAGUGGGGAAUAUUGGACAAUGGGCGAAAGCCUGAUCCAGCCAUGCCGCGUGUGUGAAGAAGGUCUUCGGAUUUUAAAGCACUUUAAGUUGGGAGGAAGGGCAGUAAGUUAAUACCUUGCUGUUUUGACGUUACCAACAGAAUAAGCACCGGCUAACUUCGUG